GUCAAUUCUAGCUAUCAGAAAUUUUUUUUAGCUAUCAGAAAGCUACUGAGGUGAAUUAUCUAGCAAAAGACCUCCUGAGCCAGAGUAAUGACAGCAUGGUGUGUGAAAUGCGGUGGUCUACGUCACACAGGAGAGAGUGAAAGGACCAUGUUGAUAUCUCUGGUGUUGG